CAGCAGCCGCGGUAAUACGAGGGGGGCAAGCGUUGUUCGGAAUUAUUGGGCGUAAAGGGUGCGCAGGCGGUUUGGCAAGUCUUAUGUGAAAUCUUCGGGCUCAACCCGAAGUCUGCAUGAGAAACUGCCGGGCUUGAGUAUGGGAGAGGUGAGUGGAAUUUCCGGUGUAGCGGUGAAAUGCGUAGAUAUCGGAAGGAACACCUGUGGCGAAAGCGGCUCACUGGACCAUAACUGACGCUGAGGCACGAAAGCUAGGGGAGCAAACAGGAUUAGAUACCCCAGUAGUCCCUGUCUCUUAUAC
rnacentral:rRNA from 1 species